rnacentral:tRNA from 1 species
GGCUCGGUAGCUCAGUUGGUAGAGCAGAGGACUGAAAAUCCUUGUGUCGGGGGUUCAAUUCCCUCCCGAGCCA